rnacentral:RNase_P_RNA from 1 species
GGAGUCAGCCAGACAGUCGCCCCGCUUGCCGGGGAGGAAAGUCCGGGCUCCACAGGGCAGGGUGCCAGGUAAUUCCUGGGGGGCGCGAGCCCAUGGAAAGUGCCACAGAAAAUAUACCGCCGGUUUGCUUUUGAGUAAGUGAGCCGGUAAGGGUGAAAUGGUGCGGUAAGAGCGCACCGCACGUCUGGUAACAGGCGUGGCAGGGUAAACCCCACCCGGAGCAAGACCAAAUAGGGGAACCAUGCUGCGGCCCGCAGCGUUCCCGGGUAGGUCGCUCGAGGUAUGCGGUGACGCAUAUCCCAGAUGAAUGGCUGUCCACGACAGAACCCGGCUUAUCGGCUGACUCUUUUU